AUCCUGGCUUAGGAUGAACGCUAGCUACAGGCUUAACACAUGCAAGUCGAGGGGCAGCAUAUUGGUAGCUUGCUACUAAUGAUGGCGACCGGCGCACGGGUGAGUAACGCGUAUCCAACCUUCCCUAUACUAGAGGAUAGCCCGGCGAAAGUCGGAUUAAUACUCUAUGUUCUUCGUAGAUGACAUCUGAAAUGAAGCAAAGAUUUAUCGGUAUAGGAUGGGGAUGCGUCUGAUUAGGUUGUUGGCGGGGUAACGGCCCACCAAGCCCGCGAUCAGUAGGGGUUCUGAGAGGAAGGUCCCCCACAUUGGAACUGAGACACGGUCCAAACUCCUACGGGAGGCAGCAGUGAGGAAUAUUGGUCAAUGGACGAGAGUCUGAACCAGCCAAGUAGCGUGCAGGAAUGACGGCCCUAUGGGUUGUAAACUGCUUUUAUAUAGGGAUAAAGUGAUCUACGUGUAGAUUUUUGUAGGUACUAUAUGAAUAAGGACCGGCUAAUUCCGUGCCAGCAGCAGC
rnacentral:rRNA from 1 species